AUAGUAAAGGCUUAUGUAUGUAUUUACAAUGUAGACUUAUUUAAUUUAUUUAAUUAUUUUCCCCAAUAAGAGUUAAUAAAUCUAAGUAGGAACCUUUUAACAUUUCCCCUCGUAGCUGGUGGGAACUUGGUAAAAUCAUCCUGUUUUAACGGUAGAUCUUUAGAUGGCAGAUUAGGUGGCUUGAAGAAGGCAGUGGGCGUAAAGAACCAACAUUGCGUAAAGGAUAUAUCUAUAUAAAUAUCUUUGUAAAAUGCAUUGUUUGCACCUGUUCCUCGUCUGACCUGGUCACUAUGUGGUCGCUGAAAGCCAGCCAGCCCUUCUCUUCCAUGGUAAAGGUGUCGCUGAUGUAGUGACCUACGAGAAAGACAGAGAUGGUGCUGGAGCCAAGGUGGCUGAGAAUACCGACAAGCUGAUAGCGGUGUCUGGGUGGCUGCCCGUCCGACCAUUGUUUCCGCCUGAAGGGAAAACUCACCAUGAACUUCAUCUACCUCUAUGGCAGCUCCACCACUCUGCGUAUCUCCAGUCUCUCUUACUCUGUUCUUAUUAAACUUUACUAAUGUCCUAAGCUCCCUCUCUUUCCCUCUCACUCACAUGUCUUCCACCAACUCUCCCUACCCUCAACAGUGCAGGUGUUUGCUGCUCUGUCUCUGGUCCAGCUGCUUAAGAGAGACCGGAACCACAGGAGAAACCAAACACAAUGAGAUGAGAGGUGAAAUGACAUUUCUACUGGAGCCACAGAGAAAACAAGUGGUCUAACCAAAAUAAUGGCAUGGUGGGUAACUUUCUUUUGCCCAGUGACAGGGGUCUGUCCUGGAACAUCCUACUACCUUGGUACCAGGUUUUAUGGGGAGAUGAUCUACUCUUACUGGUUCCACCACUGAAAUCCAUUGAACUGUACAAUCCCUCCAUAUAGUUUGCUGAAUAGUACAGUAUAUUAUGAUUAUGUAUAUUGGAAGUGCACCCCAAGGUACUUAUUUACCUUCUUGGAGCAGUGCUGCCUGAGGUGUCCCUGUCAGCUGGGAGAUCUCCCUGAAGUGGCGGAGCAGGGAGGUCUCCCUGCGGAGGAGAACUGGGUCCUGCACUUUGACCAGUUCAAACUGAGAUGAAGUUGAAUCUCUUCAUGUGCAGGACCAGGAUACUGCAGAUGCAGAAGGAGAGUCAAUGAGAAAGGGGAGAGGGACAGCACAGAACACACACACCACAUGUAUGAGAAAAUGAACAACAUACCGCUCAACACAAAAACAUCCAUUUGUCACACUGUGCACAUUACUGAGCACCAUAUAUGCAUACAACUGUUCCUCUUAUUUGUUGGGAAUGUAAUGAACUCACCGAGGCAGUGUAAUAAAUGCCCAUGAAAGGACAGCAUGCCCCCCCUGCAGGUGGCACACCUGAACUCCACCUCUGUAUUCUGUAAUUAGCACACAGAGGUACUAAGUCAUUAGUGCCUUUUACCAGCACCAUUACAAUGCAACACUUCUGUGUCAGAACCAGAUAGUCAGGCGUAGGGUGAGUAUGUGUUCUGGAAAACUGCUAGUUGUGAGUGAUCUUGUGUGCAGAACUACAGACACCUCGAAGUAGUUCUUCAGCAGAUCUUCCACUUGCAAAUUUGGGAGGACAUCCAGGUAGAGAAAGUGGAAAGCGAUACUAAUGCUUUGUGUCUUUAUGGCAGCAUUACGUAAGUCAUUCAGACAGCCGUGCAAAACCAAUAAAACCAGCAGGGUGUACAUGGUACACGUCCUCUGGCACAGCAUCUCGAAUGACAGGUGUCCUUCCAUAGGACUGGUGUACAUCACUGUUCUCUCCCAGGCCAGAAUUAACUUCCCCAGCUCAUUUAGCUGGGAUAUCAGGCAGCUGAAGAACUCAUGGGUGUCCUAGAUGAUUGGAGAUAAACAGAAAAUGCUUGCAGACUGAAAAUGUAUAUAUAUGAGACUGAUAUUGCUUAACAUUUUUCAGUAUAAGGUGUGUUUUCAUCAUUGUAUAUUCCUUGUAUAUUCCUUAGUCAAUAUUAUGCUUAUCUCAGCAAACUGCUCAGAAACCGUAUGAAUUAGUUUUCUCAACAAAGUCUUCUUCUGCUUUGAGCUUGAACCACGUGUUGCAGAUAGAAGAUCAGCGAAAUAUCUGCAAGUCAAGAGAGGCAGAAUUGGAGUUGGUAUCUCCACUUUCAAGCAGAUCAAUUUGUGAUUAGGGCAGUAACACAUGUGGACAUAACAAUAGAAAAUUCACAUGUAUGUAGUUGUGUGAGAGAGCUUGUAUGAUGCUGAUAUUUGUGUUGGGUACCUGAUAAGGUCAGCAUAGGGGACUGACACCCACUGUUCUUCCUGCCUACUGAUGUCCUUGCAGAAUCAGCUGGGGGGUAAGGGAAGCUAUAGGGAUCUGUGGUAUCCUUGGUGAACUUCUCCAGGCUGCUGGUAAUACUGACCUUGCAGGUAAUCUUUGCUUCAAUUUGGGAGACAGGUGUCAUCCCAACUGACUGGAAAAUGGGACUUGUAGUCCCUAUCUAGAAAGGGAAGGGUCAUCGUCUGGAUUGCGGUAACUAUAGGGGGAUAACACUGUUUCUUAAUGCCAGGUAAGGUUUUGGCUAGAGUCAUCCUUAACAGAAUCCAUGAUCACUUGCUCUCCUACCAAUGACUGGAGUGGUCUGGUUUUGUGCCUAAGAAGUCUACCAUCCACCAUAUUCUGGCACUGAGAGUUCUCCUCGAGCGCAAGCGCAAACAUCGGCAGAGGUUUUUUGCAGCCUUGGUCGAUUUACAUAAAGCGUUUGAUUUAGCUGCUAUGUGGGACAUCCUGAGACUUUAUGGGAUCCCACGGAAGUUGCUGGAUGUCAAUUCCGGCCUGUACACUGGUACUGUGAGUGCUAGGCAGAGUGGAUGGAGAACCUCUGUGUGUCCCAGUUGAUUCUGGGGUUUGCCAGGGGUGUAUUCUUGCUCCUACUUGUGUGGACUGGGUGUUGGGCAGGGUCGUGGGGUCCAGCAGCUGUGGGGCUUCCGUUGGUAAAGAACGAGUUACUGAUCUUGACUUUACUGACGAUGCUGUGAUCUUAGCAGAAUCAAUGGCAGCUCUGAUUGGGGCUCUUGAGAGACUGAGCGAGGAGUAUGAGUGUCUGAGAUUGUGGGUGUCCCGGAUAAAAACCUAGAUCCAGGUGUUUAAUGACUUCUCUGUGUCUCUUUAGAGAAUCCUUGGGGCCCUUCCAGUGAGGGCGACUCUCCAUGGGGUCAUUUAACCAAUCCAUGGCACCAACACAUUAUCAGGGGUGCCUGAACUUUUGCAUAACACUGUAUAGCCCUGGAAAAUGACCCAACAAGGAGAAGGGGCCAGUGGAUUCUGGAGUUAGACCUUUUCAACUGGGUUAUUGUCCACAAGGAUGGUUUCCGCCAUAGAAAUGCGGAUGCAUUAUCACGCUGGCCAGCGUUGGACAGCUACAUUGAGUCAAGGAACUCUUACAGCUAUGUGCAGGCUGUUGGUUCUCCAGGAGGGAAUGACAUUUUGCCUACUAAGACAGGAGAAGGCCCAAUUGAUGUAUUCACUUGCCUCGGACAGGUCGAAGUUAAUGUCAUUGCAGAGAAAGGAUUUGCAUCCUGAGACUUUAUGGGAUCCCACGGAAGUUGCUGGAUGUCGAGUCCGGCCUGUUCUCCAGGGGGGAAUGACAUUUUGCCUCCCGAUAAAACCUGGUAUCAAGGUAGUGGGAUGUUCCUGGACAGACCCCUGUCACUGGGCAUAAGAAAGUUACCCACCACACUGUUAUUUUGGUUAGACCACUUAUUUUCUCUGUGGCUCCAGCUUCCCACUCUGAGUCCACCACUUCCCC